GAACAUUGGAAGAAAUGGGCUAGAAGAGGAAGCCCGUAGGUUCAGCCCUGGGGAAUGGAGCAUAAAAAGCCUGGGAAAGAGGGUGCAGGAAGGACUUGCGGAAACAGCCGCUUGGCUUGCACAUCAGGAUCCCUGACCCCUGAGCCCAGGUACAGCCUCAGCAGGAAGCGACUCAGCAGUGGGGGUGGCCUCCUCAGGGAGGCUGUGGCUCCCUGCCCAGCACUUUGAACAGGAUGCUCCAGUCAGUGAGUGACAAGACCAGCCCCCUCAUAAUAUAGUCAAGGGUAGAACCCAACGGCUCAACUCUGUGGGCCUGUAUGCACGAUAUAUACAUUGUAUAUGCCAUAUAUACUAUAUUUAUGCUAUAUACUAUAUAUACACCUAUAUGCUAUAUAUUGUGCAUAUACCAUACACACACACACACACACAUAUAUAUAUAUACUACACACAUACUGUACACAUUGUAUAUGAAUUCCAUACAUACUAUAUGUGCUGUGUGCACUACUACAUAUAUAAUGUAUAUACCAUAUAUGUUAUAUAUGUCAUAUAUACAGUAUAUAAACCUAUGUACUAUAUAGUGUAUAUGCCAUAUAUGUGUGUAUGCACUAUAUGUAUACUGUAUAUAUACUGUAUAUAUUGUAUAUACAUUCCAUACACUGAAUAUACACUACAUAUACACUGUAUACAAGGUACAGUGCAAUUGAACUGUAGAAUCCUCCCUAGCCCCUAAGCUGUAGAAGUCACCAUCCUGGCAAAAUGGAGCUACUGUGGGCUCCCUAGAUGCUCAAGCCAAGUGUCUGCUAAUCCUCCUGCAUCCCUUCCCUUCAUCCUCAACAUCAAAGCAGCUGGCCAGUGAACCCCAAACUAACUGGGGACCAGACUAGGCACCUUUCUCUAGUAUCUAGCUGGAUGCUAUUUAACAGCGGCAAUCUAAGGGUUAAAAUAGCAUUUAGGCCCUGACCCUUUUGCCUACAAGACAGUGGUUGAGUUCACUGGCUGCUUUCCAGAGGACCUGGGUUCAAUCCGCAGCACCUAGAGUGUAGCUCACGGCUGCCUGUGACUCCGGCUCUCUCACACCAAUGCACAUCAAACUAAAUGAGUUAUUUUUUAAGGAGUCUUGCUUAUAUUACUUUAAGUAACUCAUUUAUUUUAAAUUAUAUUUAUGAAUUGUGUGUGUGAGCACACACACAUGUGCACAGCAUGAAUACGGGUGGAGACAAACACGUGUUUGCACUGCUGCCCUUGGUUCUUCCGGGGGUCGACUCUGCAGUAUGACGGUGAGGUCAUGUGAUAAUGCCAUAUAGCAUCGUUUUAAACAAUAACUCAUAUACUUCAUUCCUCUCAAACUUGUUUUAUGUAUCGGAGUGUCGGCCGGCAUGUACGUCUGUCUGUGCAUGGCGAGCAUGCAGGAGCCCACGGAGGUCAGGAGAAGGCAUUAGAUCCCCUGGAACUGGAGUCAUGGAUGGUGGUGAGAAAACCCAGGUCUUCUACAAGAGCUGUAAUCAUUCUUAAACACUGAGCCACCAUUCCAGCUCCUGUAGUUUAUUCCUAAUUUAACCAGUUCCUCUAGUUCCUACAGAAGUAGCUAAUGUUACAUUGUCUAUAUAGAAUUUAACAGUAGCUUCUCCAGAUUUCUCACCAGCCCCCAUCCUCUUACUGUGUUGGCUCCUCCCUCUCCCAGGCUCCUGACUGACCACCCACUUUCCUCCUCCAGACACCCCAGGCUUCCAGGCUUAGGUCAGAUGCCCCCUGGGCCUCACUCACACUGAACAAACCCCUCACUGCCUCCUCCAGAUGCUCGGGCCUCAGCCAUGCACUAAGUUCACCGGCCUCUUCUCUGUUCCUCAUGAUGCCUCCUGCCCCAGGACGUUUGUACCAGCUAUCUCCUCCACCAGGACAUCCCCGAAUCUCUUCCCUGUGGAGUUUGUAAUUUCAGUCUCUGACAACAGAAUGACCAUCCACACCUCCCCCCCCCAAAAAAAACCCUCAGGUAGAGUUGCUACCUCACCUCUAGACAUGCUAUUGGGAUGCCCCAGCUCGAGUCCAGCCCACUGAAUGAUGGGACACAAUUCCUUUUGCUGGAUGGCAGUAUCUGUGGACUCCUGAUAGAGGAACUGGUCCAAACAGGCUUGAAGGGAGCGGAAGCUCUCCCAUCACACUGAGACACCCCAGUUUAAAAAUAAUGCAGAAGCCAGGUGUGGUGGUGCACGCCUUUAAUCCCAGCACUCGGGGGGCGGGGGGCAGGUGGAUUUCUGAGUUCGAGGUCAUCCUCUGCUAAGUAGUAAUUUGGGCUACAUGGGAUCAUGUUGAAAGAAAGGGAGGGAGGAAGGGAGGAGGGAGGAGAGAAGGAGGGAGGGAGAAGGAAAAGGAAAGAAGAGGAAGAGAGGGUGCAGGAAGGUUGGGAACACAGCCUGAGUGUCAUCUCACCUCUGUGACCUGCCUGCUAUGACCACCUGCAGGGUCCCCUUCAGGGAGAAACAGAGAUGAGAGAGAUGAGCAGGAGGAAGAGGAAGUGAGAUGGGAGGCAGAGAGAGAGAGAGAGAGAGUUUUCAGGCUGACUCACACUGUCAAUCAAGGAACUAGACAUCAGCUUUGCAGAAGAGCAAGUAGGGAGGACCUAGGACUUCUUAUCACUGGAAGCUCACCCUGGGCUCCUGUGUUAGGGAGCAACAGCCCCCCAAUCAGGAGUAGAUAAGACAUCAAUGUCUUCAGUGGGGACUGGCCUAGAGGAACUUAGACAUCUCCCCCCUCCUCAUCCUUUGCCUGACAAAAGGUGCCAUGUCAACCUAAAAAGCCAAAAUGAAAAGGUCUUAGCUGCCAAGGAACUGGAAUCUCAUCCACUAGGCCUCGGCCAUGGAGUCUGCACACACAGCCUCAAAAGCCUCCUAAGACCAGGGGGUGGAGAUGGUGACUCUCUCAAAAACACCUGGAUUUUCUACCUUGGCCAGUGUGAUGGUUAAUCUCAAUAGUC
ensembl:antisense Gm16045 predicted gene 16045